rnacentral:rRNA from 1 species
GAGCAAUCCUGGCGGCGAGUGGCGAACGGGUGAGUAAUACAUCGGAACAUGUCCAGUAGUGGGGGAUAGCGGCGAAAGCCGGAUUAAUACCGCAUACGAUCUAUGGAUGAAAGCGGGGGAUCGCAAGACCUCGCGCUAUUGGGGUGGAGAUGGCGGAUUAGCUAGUUGGUGGGGUAAAGGCCCACCAAGGCGACGAUCCGUAGCUGGUCUGAGAGGACGACCAGCCACACUGGGACUGAGACACGGCCCAGACUCCUACGGGAGGCAGCAGUGGGGAAUUUUGGACAAUGGGCGCAAGCCUGAUCCAGCAAUGCCGCGUGUGUGAAGAAGGCCUUCGGGUUGUAAAGCACUUUUGUCCGGAAAGAAAUCCUGAUGGCUAAUAUCCGUCGGGGAUGACGGUACCGGAGAAUUUAGCACCGGCUAACUACGUGCCAGCAGCCGCGGUAAUACGUAGGGUGCGAGCGUUUAUCGGAAUUACUGGGCGUAAAGCGUGCGCAGGCGGUGAUGUAAGACCGAUGUGAAAUCCCCGGGCUUAACCUGGGAACUGCAUUGGUGACUGCAUCGCUGGAGUAUGGCAGAGGGGGGUAGAAUUCCACGUGUAGCAGUGAAAUGCGUAGAGAUGUGGAGGAAUACCGAUGGCGAAGGCAGCCCCCUGGGCCAAUACUGACGCUCAUGCACGAAAGCGUGGGGAGCAACAGGAUUAGAUACCCUGGUAGUCCACGCCCUAAACGAUGUCAACUGGUUGUCGGGCCUUCAUUGGCUUGGUAAACGUAGCUAACGCGUGAAGUUGACCGCCUGGGGGAGUACGGUCGCCAGAUUAAAAACUCAAAGGAAAUUGACGGGGACCGCCACCAAGCGGUGGAUGAUGUGAAUUCACUUCCGACGCACGCGAAAACGUACCUUACCUUUGAACAUGUACCGAGUCCGACAGAUAGGUGAUGUUCCGCAAGGGACCGUAACACAGUGACUGCAUGCAUGUCGUCAACUCGUGGUACGUGA